UCUGAUUACCACCUGUAU
rnacentral:snRNA from 1 species